rnacentral:rRNA from 1 species
AUUGAACGCUGGCGGCAGGCCUAACACAUGCAAGUCGAACGAGUGGCGGACGGGUGAGUAAUGUCUGGGAAACUGCCUGAUGGAGGGGGAUAACUACUGGAAACGGUAGCUAAUACCGCAUACCAUCGGAUGUGCCCAGAUGGGAUUAGCUAGUAGGUGGGGUAAAGGAUCACCUAGGCGACGAUCCCUAGCUGGUCUGAGAGGAUGACCAGCCACACUGUGACUGAGACGCGGUCCAGACUCCUACGGGAGGCAGCAGUGGAGAAUAUUGCACUAGGGGGGCGAGCCUGAUGUAGCCAUGCCGCGUGUAUGAAGAAGGCCUUCGGCUUGUAAAGUACUUUCGGCGGGGAGGCGGUAUCCUCAGAAGAAGCGCCGGCUAACUCCGUGCCAGCAGCCGCGGUAAUUC